rnacentral:hammerhead_ribozyme from 1 species
AUGCAAAUGAUGAGUCCCAAAUAGGACGAAAUACGCAUCCUGGAU